rnacentral:rRNA from 1 species
GAUGGAGGGGGAUAACUACUGGAAACGGUAGCUAAUACCGCAUAACGUCGCAAGACCAAAGAGGGGGACCUUCGGGCCUCUUGCCAUCGGAUGUGCCCAGAUGGGAUUAGCUAGUAGGUGGGGUAACGGCUCACCUAGGCGACGAUCCCUAGCUGGUCUGAGAGGAUGACCAGCCACACUGGAACUGAGACACGGUCCAGACUCCUACGGGAGGCAGCAGUGGGGAAUAUUGCACAAUGGGCGCAAGCCUGAUGCAGCCAUGCCGCGUGUAUGAAGAAGGCCUUCGGGUUGUAAAGUACUUUCAGCGGGGAGGAAGGCGAUAAGGUUAAUAACCUUGUCGAUUGACGUUACCCGCAGAAGAAGCACCGGCUAACUCCGUGCCAGCAGCCGCGGUAAUACGGAGGGUGCAAGCGUUAAUCGGAAUUACUGGGCGUAAAGCGCACGCAGGCGGUCUGUCAAGUCGGAUGUGAAAUCCCCGGGCUCAACCUGGGAACUGCAUUCGAAACUGGCAGGCUAGAGUCUUGUAGAGGGGGGUAGAAUUCCAGGUGUAGCGGUGAAAUGCGUAGAGAUCUGGAGGAAUACCGGUGGCGAAGGCGGCCCCCUGGACAAAGACUGACGCUCAGGUGCGAAAGCGUGGGGAGCAAACAGGA